rnacentral:piRNA from 1 species
UGCACAGUAGAGUUCAGUUGGUCAGUG